AUACGUAGGGGGCGAGCGUUGUCCGGAAUGACUGGGCGUAAAGGGCGUGUAGGCGGCGGUGUAAGUCUGGAGUGAAAGUCCCGCAUUCAAUGUGGGAAUUGCUUUGGAUACUGCAGUGCUAGAGUGCGGAAGAGGUAAGUGGAAUUCCCGGUGUAGCGGUGAAAUGCGUAGAGAUCGGGAGGAACACCAGUGGCGAAGGCGGGUAACUGGACUGCAACUGACGCUGAGGCGCGAAAGUGUGGGGAGCAAACAGGAUUAGAUACCCUGGUAGUCCACACUGUAAACGAUGAAUGCUAGGUGUAAGAGGUAUCGACCCCUUUUGUGCCGGAGUCAACACAAUAAGCAUUCCGCCUGGGGAGUACGGCCGCAAGGUUGAAACUCAAAGGAAUUGGCGGGG
rnacentral:rRNA from 1 species